AUGUGUAGGUUCGUCUUCUACACUGAGCAUAUUCAUAAGGAUGAAGAGAUUCGGGAUAAAGGUGAUAGCUGGAUUUGUAUUUGGAUCAAGGUGGGUGAUCUUAUCGUUUUAUCGGCCGGAGUCUACCACCAGUUUACUCAUGACACAAAAAACCAAUACAAAGUGGCGUUGAAGUUUAGAAUCAAGUGA